UGAACUACUCCCACCACCUAAGACAAUACUUUUUCUUUAUAAGGUGAGCACGCUGAAUAUAGUUUAUUGAUGUAGUUGUUUCUUUUCUCCUUUAGUUCACCUCCUGACCUUUUGAAAUUACUUUGCUCAGCAAAGGACAAUAGGGCCAAUCCAACUCCCAUUAAAGUCAGCAGGAGUCCUUUCACUGACUUCGGCUGAAGUUGGGCUGGGCCCAAUAAGACUAGUUUUAAGAGUUAAAAAUAGUAACUCGUACAGACCUUUAUCUUACCUCCUGUGGCUUGAUAACUGACCUCCCAUCAUGUUCACUGGGACAGGAUCAGGCCCCUAAAGCUGAGCUAAGCUAUUAUGGACCUAAUCCCAUAACUCCAAACAUAUAAAAUGGUUGCAUUUCCUUUUUUUUAAUCACACAGGAAUAUUUUGAGAAGGACUCAUGACUUUUUGAACGGGGAAAUGCUUCCGGCUGAACAGACUGAAUUCAUCUUUGGGCUGGGUUAUGCCCCAGAGUCUUCCCUUCUUAAAACAGGAAGAUGAUGGGGUCAAGGCUCAGAGGUGACUUCAUGCAUCUCCUUCACUCUUCUGCUUUCCUGCUUCAUCUUCGCACACAAGUGCCCUUGCCAGCACCUUGCCAGGUGACCCCAGGUCCCAUCCUCUGCAGUGUUCGCUGUCCCAUAAGAAAGUACCACCUGCCUGCAAGUGAGCAGAGUUGCUCCUGGAGGGGUUCAGCCCCAGAGGGUGCCCACCAGCAGGGUGGUGGUGUGGUUGCCUCUCGGUCUGAUGGGAGGAGCUCUGUGUGGAAGACCCUGUCUCUAGCACACUGAAUUGCUUCACCACCGCGAGAAGAAAGGUCGUCUGGCAGCUCUGCGAAUCGCUGUUAAAAUUACCACCUACCGUAGGUGGUUGCGUGUUUUAUUCAGGAGACCCCAGAUCACAAAUUUUCUUUGGGUUAAAAAUAAAUCCACUCACUGGCAUCCGCGGAGAACAUUUUCCAACAUCAGAAAACUGCCUCGCAGUCAGAGUAAUUUGUAGCAGCCACCCAGGGAAAGGUAGGCUCAACGCCGCAGACACGCUGCGAGACAAGACGCAGCCCCGCUGCAGAGGCAGAUGCUGUUCUCCGCUCACCCUGGUGUCACGAACCAUUCUCCUGUUUCAGCAGAGUCUAAAUUUACCCACUCCCUUAAAUAUAGAUAUACAGAAAGAGCUCUCAGAUAUCCUUGGCUUCUCCCCGUGGGUGGAGGAAGAGCCCCCCUUGCUGCCUGACACCGUCAGCAGCAGUAUUCUGUGCACUCUCCCAAAUGCACUGCAGCAUCAACAUCAGUCACUUCAAAGGGUUCUUUCAUGUACCACAUAUUUUUUUAUCCAGAAUGCACAAGCGAGAGGCAGAUCUGGCUGAAACUGGCUUUUUUUUUUUUUUUUUUUUUUGGCUCGCCACUUGUGUGGCCCCUUGGAAAGGGUCUCAGAAGAGUGAACAAACUUUCCGUAUGAGCAGGUGUAAGAUAUAAAGCUUUUUCUGUCACCUGUUGUUAGCACUGCAAGAUAUUGCCAUUUUCCUGAUUGAUUGAAUGUGGCUGCAUAUUUCCAAAAUGCACAAAGAGCAUUGGAAAUUAGUGAAUUCCAGUUUUCUGACCACUCCCUAACUCCCCAUCAGCCACCCUUCUCUGAUCAGGACAGAAGGCUCGCUUUGUCAGUGCCUUGCUCACAGGGGUAGCAGGUGAAUAUAAAAUAUUUUCAUGGAGCCUAAGAUGCAUCUUGAGGCUGCUUUACACAGGAGUGAGAGCCCCUGAGCAAGCAGGAGAGAACCAGGUCCCCUGCCAAUAGCAAGAGAGCCACACUUCAUUCUAGGAAAAAUUAAAAACCCAUGCAUUCAGUAGGACCUGACCAUACAUCUCCCUUCUACAUUAAUAGGAAAAGUGUAGCUAAUUCCCUCAGGUGUCCUGAAAAAGUCAGUUAGGCCCUUUUCUGUUUGCACACAAUAGCAUUUUUAGGUCACACACUGCUCAAUACAAUUUCAUUUAAUUCUGGUUUAAUCUGAUAGGCUGACAUUUCCUUUCCUGUGACAGUUCCACACUUGGGCAGAAAUAUCCCCCAGCACAGCCAUGUAUCACACAGUCACGGAGGGGAGGGGAGCUGCCAGGUGAAGGAAGUGGGUGCAGAUAUUUGAAAUAUCCUCAUAAGGAACAAGAGCUCUGAAGCUGUAGUCUCCACUGAAUAUUUAGCAAUCCUUGCUCUGAAAUGGAAUUAUGAAUAAAAAAAGUUCUUUGUUGUUGUUUGAUUGUUUUUAAUAAAGCAAUUUAAGGCUGAUGUGGAUCAAAACUUGGCAUUUUCUCUCUGUAGGAAAUCUUGACCUUUCCAGACAGUUUUUGUUCCAGAUUGGAAAAAAGUCUACAAAAGCUUUACCUUUCCUGUAGAAACUAAAUUCUGAAAAUACUUUGUUCCUGGAAGCCCAGAGCAUUGCUUUUCCCAUUUUAUGAAAGCAAAUGCAGCAGCCAUAUCGCUCUGAGGGAGUGCUGUCUCCUCAGAGGGUUGCCAAGACUGAUGUUCAGUGAUGCCAGAGGUGACUCUGCAGCAUCCUUUGACACCUGGCAUGUAGAAACCCUUCAGUCCUAUCCUUUCUGGAGCCUCCAGAGCUGCCACAUGCCCAGCUGUGCAGUGGGAGCCAUGGCUCUGACCCAGAGCUCUGCUGCCCACCAGGGUGCUGCCAGGGGACACUGAGCCUGCAAGAUUGCCCAGAAAGCUUCACUCUGGGGCUGACAAAUGUUUCUAGAAUCAGAAGUAUUUUCACGAAACAUAUGUUUUUUGACAAAUCACCACUAAUCAAUUACCAGUUCCUGACUAGUUAGGAAUUGUGUUGGUUUGGUGGGCAAUGAAGCACAUUAUCGGCUUGGGAUGCUUGUGGUGGUUUUCAUAUCAGUCACCAGCCUGAAGAAGGAGAUAAAUCAAAGAAACAAAUCUAUGCAGGAUGUGAGAAUGAUCUUCAAAAGCUCUGAGGUGAUCAUAUGGAUGUAUUAGCCCAGGGAAUGUCACUGAUGGAAUUAUGAAUGUACAGCUUGUACAGGACAGGAGAAGGGCUGAAGAUCAAACAUGUCUGGAACAACACUUUAGUAUUAUGGUUAUUUGUUGUGGUUAGGCACCUACAUCUCUUUCUUGUUCUAGACCUUGCCUCCUUUUGAAAAUGGGAUUUAGACUCAUAAGUUAUCUGGGCGCUUUUAAUAAUUUUAUUGCAAAUUAAAAACUCUUCCAGGAGUUACUUUGGUAUUUGCUCAUUCCCUGUUUUACAGGGUAAAAUAUUCAUCCCCACAUAUGUCAGUUCACAAGGAGAGACCAUACAGAAAAAGAUGUGGCUUAUUAUAUAGCAGUGAUGGAUGGUUGCUUUAUAGAAAACACUUGCACGUAAGAGAACAACUGUUGUGUAUUAAAUACAUCCCCUGUAUUGUGCUUAGAGUUCAUACCUGUUGCUGAAGGAAAAAUUCAAAGAGAGGAGGAAAGAAUAAGUAAGCUCGUGAAAUGACAUGAGAUAUCCACAUAAAUACCAAGGAAUACACCAUGACUUUUGUUAUUACAAAGAGCAUGUAUGGCAGUAAUGUUAAUGUGGUGCUUGAGAAACUUGGCAAAUGGAUUGGUUUGUCAAUUCUUGCCCGGUGUGCCUGGGACUUUUUGUUCCUAUACAGAAGAAGAGGGAAGAAAAUUCUGGGUAUUGAGGAGUUAGUUACUCAUAAAGCAUUAAUAGCUGGAGAGGUGCCAAAUCAUUAUUGUUUUUUCUGGAAAGGGUAUUAGGUAUUAUUCAACAAGAUAAGAUUUUCUUUCCAUGUGUCCAUACCAGCUCAAUAUUGGAAGAUGAAACACAUACCUAGAGGAUUACAGGCCCAGAAAUCACCUUUUCCAGGAAAAUGAGCUGAGUGAAUCACUUCAGACAAAAAUGUGUUGAAAUGUUAAACAAGUACUCUCUUGAUUUAAUGUUGUUGUUAAUUAUAAAAAAAAGGCUAUGUGAAAAUGGAAACAAGUUAAGACUGAUAUUGUUAUAUAGAACCAGUUUUUAAGGAAAACAAUGAAACUGGGCACAUUUUUUUGACCUCAAACUAAUCUGAGAAAGAGGUAGAGAAUGUAUCAGGGAAAAAUUUGGUCCUGUAUUCUUUUCCAUUGAUAGAACAGCCAUAAUUACCAUAAGCUCAUGGUUUCUGCCACAGGCCUGCUAUCAAAGCCAUGGCUUAGUAGAUCUCCAGCUAGAAGAGUAAUUUUCAAACCUGGGGCCAGCCAGAGCUUCUCUGUGCAGGUCUCGAAUCAUCAGAAGAGCACAGCUUGGCCAUGCCUUCAAAGAGACACUCUUCCCAGAGUGGAGACCCCCCCGAGGCCCUCUUCAGCCUAGCAGCCCUUGGUUUACAUUGCAAGCGAGUAUCCAAAACCACACAGACCUAUGCAAUGUUCCUUGUUUGGCUUUUUUAAUUAUUAUCAUUAUACUUCAUGUGAUGCUUCUGUUUCCUGAAUUCCAUGCACUCAGGGAAGAUGUUCUGUCUCCUUCCCUUUUCCCAGAAGCUCCCUUCAUACAAUUUGUGCAUAGACAUACUCACGUGCAUAUGCACUAAAUGGGGUCUAGGAGCCUUAAAAGGGCAAGAGCCCAGUGCUGGUGGCUAUUGACAGGAGAGAAAGAAGAAUAGCUGAGAUAGGAGAGCUCCAGACAGACCCCUACCUGUGGUAGAAGAGUGAAAGGAGACGAUUGCACCAGCUGGGAUGCCUUUGCCAGUUACAACCACAUUUGUUGUUGUUUUUGUUGUAAAAAAUCCUUGCAUUUUAAAGUUGAGAGAAAUUGAGUGUUUGUGUCCAAGGAAGAAAAUCCUGCUUUGGAUUCAAGGAGUGAGGAAUGAGGGGAGAGUUUCUGGGAAGGAAUAUCUGACCACUUGGAUAAGUCUCGAAAAGACAUUGCUAUAUUUCUGCUCCUUAGUUAAAAUAACUGGAAUACUUUGGGACUUUUUUGGACAGCAAUGUGGUGGUGGAGCAGAAGGGGUGGAGAAGAAGACUGAUAGCAGCAAGUACUGGCAAGAUUCUAUUAAGCUGUAUCUAAUAAAAGUAGCAACAUAGAUACAUCAAGCCUUUCUGCCAAGCCAUAAGGGUGUGAUUACUAUGCCUGGAACGUGCUGUAAUCCUCCCCGAAUCCACACAUAUUUCAGGUACAGGAGAACAACUUUCUCCAUGCACCUUCUCUGUGUCUGGGCAGAGAUCCACCAGGUUUUCCAAAGUGAUGCUUGGUCAAGUUUCCCAUCCUUGUUUCAGUUUUUCUUGUAAAGCUCUCUUACUUAAGUCCUGCUGAACCCAUGUAAGCAGAGAGGUUAGUCCUUCCUGCUGUUUGACAUGGGGCAUUGAGUUUACCAGGUCUCUGGACAGCAGGUUUACAUUGGUCUCACCUAAUUUUGCCAUCAGGGGAUCAAACUCAGCCCAACAGACUGCCAGGAAAUAUUUGGCAAAAGGAUUCAAGAAUAUUGAAAUGUAUAUGGGCAGCUUUAACAUGCGGCCCUUUAACAGAGGGAAACAAGCACACAGUACCACAAGCACGCUAUAGAAGUGAGUGUGUUUUGGUCUGCACAUACUUAUAGGGUAUGUACAGGCUUGUAUUUAGAGAGAGAGAAAGAGACAGGGAGAGGGCAAGAGCAAACGCAUCUGGGGAAAACCAAACAAGGCAGGACAAGGAGCGCACAAGCCCAUUUACACAGGCUUGUGCUGGUCGGUGGCACAGCAACCACAUUCCAAGUGGCUUCAGCAGUGGGACGGGCCUGUCGAUUUCCCAUUAAACCCCCAAAAUGGCACAGGUACAGCGCCCUAUGUGCAUGGUCUCAUCAUGAAACCACUGCCAACAACAGAAACUGCCUUCCCGUGGCCAAGAAGCAGGGCAGUGGUGUGGCAAGAAACCAUCCCAAACAGCUGCAGGCCCUGCGGGGCAUGUCUCCAUGCUCAGGCAGCACCAGCCUCAGGCCCCAUGUGGCCCCGAUUCCCACUGCUGCACAGGCAGUAGCCACCAGCCCUGGAAGCCAAUUAGAAAGUCUGUAAAACGCCGUAAAAGGCAGUUUUCUGCUGGCUGCGUGGCCUGGUACUGAUCACUAUGGGCUCCAAGCCCAGGCCUUUCUUCUUUUGCUUCAAUUACAGGGCCUUCAAAGCGUCUGGUGUUUUCAGUUGUGAUUGUCAUCACACUUCAAUGCAGUGUGUGCCAUGGCACGUGCGCGAGCGCAGCUGGGUUUCUCUACAAAACCAAAGAUAUUUGCUUUACAGGCCUGUACAUACAGUCCCUCACAACCUGCCAACAGCCAAAUGUGUUGGGCUACCAUUUCUAGCAGGGGAUCAAAGAGUAUAUUUAAAUGCUUCUGAUUCAACAUACAAGUAACUACAGACAGUCACAUGCAAUGGGGGUGGCCCGGGAGUUUGUGAGAGGAAAAGGAGGUAUUAAAAGAAGAUGUAUGAUGGGUGUGCAUGUGCAAAUUUGGCUGGCUGUGUGAGCCUGCUGGGUGGGACACAUGCUUUUUGUGCAUGGGACUGGAGAUGGCCUAAUGGCCCCAGAAGGGUGCUCCCACUGCUUGGGCUAAAACCUUCUGACAUGGUGGCCCCAUCCUGCCGGAUGUCCUGGGGACGAGCCCCAGACCUGGCCAGGAUGUCCCUUGUGGGGUACAGGAGAGCCCCUACCACUCAGCAUGGAAGCACCAGGCUCCAGGGAAAGGUAUGGGAGCCCACACUCUCCAAACUCCAUCCGUGGCACUCUGAAGUGUGCAGGCAGAGUGGGCAGCCCCUGGGCCUGCUCCUCUAUUUUGGUCCAUGUGAUGCAGAACUGGCUUCCCUACCAGCAGUGUUGGGGCCCACAGAGAGGAAGAGAGGACGAUUUCUGGUCGUCCAGUGGGAGCUACCUCUUUUUCUUGCUCCAUGAUUUCACUCAAGGCAAUGAGAAAGGAGCCAAGAAGACCCAAGGCAGGUGAACAAACAGCCCUGUGUUGUGGCCACUUAGGUAAAAGGGGCAGGGAGCAUUUGUCUUCUCAUCUUACAGUCCUUCCUUUUUAUGGUUUUGUGGCAGAAGAGGUGAAAUCUGCCCCCUG